AUGAGGCUGCUUAUGUUUAUAUAUGUUUUCAUCUUUUCUGUGACUAUAGAAACUGUGCUGGGACUGAUCGAACUGAAGCAAACUGAACUGUCCUGGACGAAGUCAGUCAGCAAAACACUGUAUAUCAAGUGUAAAGUCACUGGUCUGAGCAGCAGCAACUAUGUUCACUGGUACCAGCAGAAAGACGGAGAAGCUCCCAGAGGAAUUCUGUACGUCACGUACGGCACCAGCCCGGUUCGUGAUUUGAACCAUCCAGAUAAAGAGGACUUUGACGUGUCAAAAGGCGCCUAUGAUCUGAAGGUGGAAUCCCUGAAGAAGAUCCACUCAGCGGUGUAUUACUGUGCAUGCUGGGACGGCCACAGACCUGGAAAACUUACUUGCCACAGCGAUGUGGACAAAGACUUUUUCACAUAG